AUUGAACGCUGGCGGCAUGCCUUACACAUGCAAGUCGAACGUUAACAGGUCUUCGGAUGCUGACGAGUGGCGAACGGGUGAGUAAUACAUCGGAACGUGCCUAGUAGUGGGGGAUAACUACUCGAAAGAGUGGCUAAUACCGCAUGAGAUCUACGGAUGAAAGCAGGGGAUCGCAAGACCUUGUGCUACUAGAGCGGCAGAUGGCAAAUUAGGUAGGUGGUGGGAUAAAAGCUUACCAAGCCGACGAUCUGUAGCUGGUCUGCGAGGACGAUCAGCCAGACUGGGACUGAGACACGGCCCAGACUCCUACGGGAGGCAGCAGUGGGGAAUGUUGGACAAUGGGCGAAAGCCUGAUCCAGCAAUGCCGCGUGCAGGAUGAAGGCCUUCGGGUUGUAAACUGCUUUUGUACGGAACGAAAAGCCCCGGGUUAAUACCCUGGGGUCAUGACGGUACCGUAAGAAUAAGCACCGGCUAACUACGUGCCAGCAGCCGCCGUAA
rnacentral:rRNA from 1 species